GAUGAACGCUGGCGGCGUGCCUAAUACAUGCAAGUCGAGCGAACGGACGAGAAGCUUGCUUCUCUGAUGUUAGCGGCGGACGGGUGAGUAACACGUGGAUAACCUACCUAUAAGACUGGGAUAACUUCGGGAAACCGGAGCUAAUACCGGAUAAUAUUUUGAACCGCAUGGUUCAAAAGUGAAAGACGGUCUUGCUGUCACUUAUAGAUGGAUCCGCGCUGCAUUAGCUAGUUGGUAAGGUAACGGCUUACCAAGGCAACGAUGCAUAGCCGACCUGAGAGGGUGACGCGACACACGAGAACUGAAACAGGGUCCAGACUCCUACGGGGGGAACGAGAGGGAAAUCUUCCAAAAUGGGGGAAAGCCUAACGGAGCAACGCCGGGGGAGUUAUGAAGGUCUUGGGAUCGAAAAACUCUUUUAUUAGGAAAAAAAAUAUGUGUAAGUAACUGUGCACAUCUUGACGGUACCUAAUAAAAAAGCCACGGCUAACUCCGUG
rnacentral:rRNA from 1 species